AACGAACGCUGGCGGCAGGCUUAACACAUGCAGGUCGAACGGGCGUAGCAAUACGUCAGUGGCGGACGGGUGAGUAACACGUGGGAAUAUGCCUUUCGGUUCGGAACAACUCGGGGAAACUCGUGCUAAUUCCGGAUACGCCCUUACGGGGAAAGAUUUAUCGCCGAAGGAUUAGCCCGCGUUGGAUUAGCUAGUUGGUGAGGUAAUGGCCCACCAAGGCGACGAUCCAUAGCUGGUUUGAGAGAACGACCAGCCACACUGGGACUGAGACACGGCCCAGACUCCUACGGGAGGCAGCAGUGGGGAAUCUUGGACAAUGGAGGAAACUCUGAUCCAGCCAUGCCGCGUGAGUGAUGAAGGCCUUCGGUUGUAAAC
rnacentral:rRNA from 1 species